CCUACGGGUGGCUGCAGUGGGGAAUAUUGGACAAUGGGCGAAAGCCUGAUCCAGCCAUGCCGCGUGUGUGAAGAAGGCCUUCGGGUUGUAAAGCACUUUCAGUGGGGAAGAACGCCUUGGGGCUAAUACCCUCGAGGAAGGACAUCACCCACAGAAGAAGCACCGGCUAACUCCGUGCCAGCAGCCGCGGUAAUACGGAGGGUGCGAGCGUUAAUCGGAAUUACUGGGCGUAAAGCGCGCGUAGGCGGUCUGAUAAGCCGGUUGUGAAAGCCCCGGGCUCAACCUGGGAACGGCAUCCGGAACUGUCAGGCUAGAGUGCAGGAGAGGAAGGUAGAAUUCCCGGUGUAGCGGUGAAAUGCGUAGAGAUCGGGAGGAAUACCAGUGGCGAAGGCGGCCUUCUGGACUGACACUGACGCUGAGGUGCGAAAGCGUGGGUAGCAAACAGGAUUAGAUACCCGAGUAGUC
rnacentral:rRNA from 1 species